rnacentral:ncRNA from 1 species
UAAUUAACUCUGUUAAUAUUAAUUAGCUUUAUUUUAAUUUUUAUAUGUAAAUUUUUGUGUGAUUAAUUAAUUUCUAAAUGAUUAAUUUUCUUAUUCGCAGUUUUAAUUUUUAGUUUUUAAAUGGUUUUAGAACUAUAUAAUUAUAUUAAGGACUAUAUAAGGUUGUGCCAGCGUAUGCGGUUAUACAUAUCAGUUCAAGUUAAUUUUUUUAAUUUUUUAUUUUUAGGUUUUAUAUUGAAUUUAUUUAAUAUUUAUUUAAGUGAAAUUUUUAUUUAUUUUUAUUUUUAGGUUUCUUAUAAUAAUAAGGUUAGUUAUUAAACUAGGAUUAGAUACCCUAUUAUUCUUUCUUUAUGUUAUAUUAUAUUAUUAUUAGUUAUGUUCUAUAAAUUAAAAGGGUUUGGCGGUAAUUUAGUCUAUUCAGAGGAACCUGUUCUGUAAUUGAUAAUCCACGUGUUAUUUAACUUUAAUUUAUUGUUUGUAUAUCUCUGUCAUUGAAUAUCUUAUUAGGGUUAAUUUUCGUUAAUUAUUUUUUAUUUAAUGUCAAGUCAAGGUGCAGCUAUAUUAAAGGUUGAAAUGGGUUACAUUUAAUGUUUAAUUUAUUAAUAUUAUUUUUUGUAUUAAUGUUAAUGUUAUAGGAUUUGAUAGUAAAUUUUAAUAUAUUUUAAUUUUGAUUUAUAGCUCUAAAUUAUGUACAUAUCGCCCGUCACUCCCGCCCUUUAAAGUGGGAUAAGUCGUAACAAAGUAAUUUUACUGGAAAGUGAGGUUGGAUUAUU